rnacentral:rRNA from 1 species
GGACGGAGCCGUCAGGAGCCUUCGGGACUCAGUCGUCUGUAUGGCGAARAUGUAGCGUUUGAGGAACGUAAAGUCUUCUGCGUUUCAUUAGUAGUUGACAGUCGACGCAUUUCUCGAGGGCAAGCAUCGCAACCGAUACGAAAGGCUAGUGAGGUGAUUGGGUUGAGGUCUAGUUCCUUCGGGAACUAGUUUCCAGCCUUUUUGCACGAGUCGCUAGACCGCAGUAUGUAUCGAGCGUCUUAAAAACAUAUACGUUGGCUUAAAAGCUCGUUGAGCGAUGGAUAGUCGACUAAUCAGUUGGUUACUUGCUCGCAGGUGCUGACGAAUUUGGUCUUCUUAGAAGUCGUCAGCGACAAGACGUAUUGGCGUUAGCGAUGUCAGUGUCGGUCGCCCGUCCGACCCGUCUUGAAACACGGACCAAGGAGUCUAACAUAUGCGCGAGCUAAUAGGUGUAAAACCUAUAGGCGCAAUAAAAGUAAACGCUGUUUCGGACAGCUGAGGUACGAUCCUAGAUUCGCUCUAGGCGCAGUACCGUCUCAUCCCUAAGGCAUGUCCUAAGGGUGAAGAUAGAGUGCAUACGUUGGGACCCGAAAGAUGGUGAACUAUGCCUGAGCAGAGCGAAGCCAGAGGAAACUCUGGUGGAGGUUCGUAGCGGUUCUGACGUGCAAAUCGAUCGUCAGACUUGGGUAUAGGGGCGAAAGACUAAUCGAACCAUCUAGUAGCUGGUUCCCCCUGAAGUUUCCCUCAGGAUAGCUGAUACUCGGGAACGAAGUUUUAUCCGGUAAAGCGAAUGAUUAGAGGCCUUGGGGACGAAAUGACCUCAACCUAUUCUCAAACUUUAAAUGGGGUAAGAAGUCGAGCUUGCUCGACCGAAGCUCGACAAGUCGAGAAUUCGAGUAUCAAGUGGGCCAUUUUUGGUAAGCAGAACUGGCGCUGCGGGAUGAACCGAACGGU